AUGCCGGCGCUGGACGCGUGCGCGCUCUGCGCCAAGCGGCUGGCGCGCGACAGCGACGUCUUCAUGUACAGAGGGGACACACCCUUCUGUAGCAAGGAGUGCCGGCACGAGCAGUUGCAGCUCGACGCUGUCUCCGCCAGGCAGGCAGCCCGG
rnacentral:rRNA from 1 species